UGAUGACUGCCAAAAAUAGUCCUACUAUUUCCCAAAUUAAAAGCGUAUGCUCAAUAUAUUGAUACAAAAAUCAAAAGGUUACUUAACAGAAACUGCAAAUUGUUAGAUACACUUUGAUAAACAUAUGAGGAGACUGAAGGGAUUGGUCCAUUGUUCAACUGGCGGUUGUUUGCACAUUUGGGGUCACGUUACUUGUCGGCGGCCAGUUCCAACCAUCGAGGCCUGAACCACGGCAGCAAGCGGUUUGGUAGGCGUUUCUUAUACUCAUGUAGGGUGCAGAGUUCCAGGGCACAAUAGUGGAUGUUGCAGUUCAUGCACCUGUUGCAUGAACAGGUAAGUCCUGGCGCACACCUACUCUCCUCCUGGCCGAAACAGGUCUCAUUCACCUGCAGAUAGCAAAAGUGUCGCUCCACGCAGUUGUCCCUCUUCAGAGUGAAAAAACUUUUGGGACAUCGCGUGAUGUCGUCGCUGCCUUCUCGGCAUGGCCUUGUCUGAAGGUCCCUGGAAGGAAAGAUUAUCAAAUAAAUCAUUAAAUAGGAUUUCGAUGUUCGGCUAGCUUACAUGGCCCGGCAAUGGUGCCAGAUGACGAACAGCAGCACAGAUGCCUGCAACAGAAGUCUGACCAGACGGAACUGCACGUGGUUCUGCAUUUUCAGAGGUCUCCUCUCCGUUGCCGGACGAGCCAGGUCCUUUUAUACCCGCUGCUUCAGGCCCUCUAAUUAGAUGUAAUGUAAUGUAUGUAAAUGAUUUAGCAUAGAUUAAUUGAAUUUUCAAUCGCAUCAUGGUCAUCCAGUCGUGACCGCUGUGGGUCAAUGGCGCCUCCUUCCCGGAAUGGAAGGCCGCGAGACGCUUGCCUCUCAGACUGACAGCCGCAAUAAUUAGUACGGAUGUUGAGGUCAAGUGCAAUUAAUUCAAAUUAAAUCUCAUUUGUUAAUCAA